rnacentral:rRNA from 1 species
AUGGGGUGUAAGGCGUGCGACAAGCCCAGGCCGAGCUACCGGAAGGGGCUGUGGUCGCCGGAGGAGGAUCAGAAGCUGCGCGAUUACAUUCUCCGGCACGGCCACGGCUGCUGGAGCGCGCUUCCCGCCAAAGCCGGGCUCCAGCGGAACGGCAAGAGCUGCAGGCUGCGGUGGAUCAACUACCUGCGGCCGGGGCUGAAGCACGGCAUGUUCUCGCCGGAGGAGGAGGAGACGGUGAUGAGCCUCCACGCCGCCCUCGGCAACAAGUGGUCGAGGAUCGCACGGCAUUUACCGGGGAGGACCGACAACGAGGUGAAGAACUACUGGAACUCGUAUCUCAAGAAGAGGGUCGAGGGCGGCAAGGAGACGCCGCCGGCGGCGAGCUCCGCCGCGGACUCGGACGGGUCCCAGAGCCCGAGCCCAGGGGAGUUCAGUGCGGCGCAGGAACGGCCGUCGAACUCCGGCUCGUCGGAGCCGCCGCACGAGUCGUCGUCGGCCGACUCGAGCUGCCUGACCGUGACCGAGCCUACCGCCUGCAGGGCCCACGCGCCCGUGGCUCCCAAGGUGAUGUUCGCGGAUUGGCUCAACAUGGACUACAUCGGUGGCCAGGUGGCGGCGGCGGCACCUGGCCCGGAAGCCGCGGGGGUGGUUGGCGCAGGAGGCGGCGAUCAUCGUCAGAUCACGAGCCAGGGGUCCGCGCAGGUCGAUGGGCCACCCGGCGUGGAGGACCCCCUGCACGGCGGCUUCGGCGACAGCGGCACCUGCUGGGAGUUCCUGGAGCAGUUCGACAGCAUGGAUCAGAUGCAGGCCGGCGGCGGGUUCUGCGACCUGCUCUCCAUGACCGAGUUCUUCGGCCUCAACUAG